AAAUAUCUUGAUGCGGGACUCUUCCGAGGCCUCGCAAUCAGGAUGCGUUUACUUUAAAGCAGUAAACUGAACGCAAUUGGAGGGCAAGUCUGGUGCCAGCAGCCGCGGUAAUUCCAGCUCCAAUAGCGUAUAUUUAAGUUGCUGCGGUUAAAAAGCUCGUAGUUGGACUUUAUACUCAGGCAGCCAGUCCUCUUUCGAUAUUUUCAUUCCUUCAAUAGCGUAUGGGUUUGAGGUCUUUACUGGUGCGGCGCGGUUCGUUCUCAUCAACUCUUAUUUGUAGUCGCAAGACGAACGGAGGAGUUCGAACUGUCGUUUUACGUUAUCCUUAGUAUCGUACUUCUUAUAAUUCUGCGUUUGGUUUGAUAUUUUUCAUUAGAGGUUCUUACUGCGUCUGUGACUGAGUGUAUAUGAGACCGUCGAUUUAUACUUUUUCGAAAUAAUCUAUAAUCGAUUUUAACAUGGUGCAAUUAAGUUUGUGUCCGUGUUUUAUUUGCGAUACAAGAUAUAUUCGUUCACAUAAAAGUUGUCGACUCUAUCACUUUGAAAAAAUUAGAGUGCUCAAAGCAGGCCUCAUUGCAUAAUUGCCUGAAUGGUGUUGCAUGGAAUGAUGGAAGAUGAUCUCUACCUCGUUAAGUUUAGAAGCAUAACUUUUUGUUUUUAUCUUUGCACCAGGUGGACGGGUACGGAUAAAGAUUCGAGGUUUGAGAUAAUGAUUAAAGGGAACUGCCGGGGGCGUUUGUAUUACGGCGCUCGAGGUGAAAUUCUUGGACCGUCGUAAGACAAACUACUGCGAAAGCAUUCGCCAAGAAUGUUUUCAUUAAUCAAGAACGAAAGUUAGAGUUUAGAAGGAGAUCAGAUACCUCCC
rnacentral:rRNA from 1 species